GGGACCAUGGUCUAGUGGUAUGAUUCUCGCUUUGGGUGCGAGAGGCCGUGGGUUCGAUUCCCACUGGUCCCC
rfam:Naegleria gruberi genomic scaffold NAEGRscaffold_55, whole genome shotgun sequence.